GUGUCAGCAGCCGCGGUAAUACAGAGGUGGCAAGCGUUGUUCGGAAUUACUGGGCGUAAAGGGCGCGUAGGCGGUCUUCUAAGUCUUGUGUGAAAUCCCUCGGCUCAACUGAGGAACUGCACGGGAUACUGGAAGACUUGAGUUCGGGAGAGGGAAGCGGAAUUCCGGGUGUAGCGGUGAAAUGCGUAGAUAUCCGGAGGAACACCGGUGGCGAAGGCGGCUUCCUGGACCGAUUACUGACGCUGAGGCGCGAAAGCUAGGGGAGCAAACGGGAUUAGAAACCCCCGUAGUCC
rnacentral:rRNA from 1 species